rnacentral:rRNA from 1 species
UACGAAGGGUGCGAGCGUUGUCCGGAAUUAUUGGGCGUAAAGAGCUCGCAGGCGGUCUGUCGCGUCGAAUGUGAAAACCCGGGGCUCAACUCCGGGCUUGCAUUCGAUACGGGCAGGCUAGAGUUCGGUAGGGGAGUCUGGAAUUCCUGGUGUAGCGGUGAAAUGCGCAGAUAUCAGGAGGAACACCGGUGGCGAAGGCGGGACUCUGGGCCGAUACUGACGCUGAGGAGCGAAAGCGUGGGGAGCGAACAGG